UACGAAGGGUGCAAGCGUUACUCGGAAUUACUGGGCGUAAAGCGUGCGUAGGUGGUGAGUUAAGUCUGAUGUGAAAUCCCCGGGCUCAACCUGGGAAUGGCAUUGGAUACUGGCUCGCUAGAGUGCGGUAGAGGGUGGUGGAAUUCCCGGUGUAGCAGUGAAAUGCGUAGAGAUCGGGAGGAACACCAGUGGCGAAGGCGGCCUUCUGGACCAGUACUGACGCUCAUGCACGAAAGCGUGGGGAGCAAACAGG
rnacentral:rRNA from 1 species